rnacentral:rRNA from 1 species
GGGUGAGUAACGCGUGGGAAACCUGCCUUUAAGACGAGGAUAACUAUUGGAAACGAUAGCUAAUACUGGAUAGGAUAUAUUAUCGCAUGAUGAUAUAUUUAAAGGUUUAAAACACUUAGAGAGGGUCCCGCGUCGCAUUAGUUAGUUGGUGAGGUAAUGGCUCACCAAGGCGACGAUGCGUAGCCGGGCUGAGAGGCUGAACGGCCACAUUGGGACUGAGACACGGCCCAAACUCCUACGGGAGGCAGCAGUAGGGAAUUUUCGGCAAUGGGGGAAACCCUGACCGAGCAAUGCCGCGUGAAUGAUGAAGGUUUUCGGAUUGUAAAGUUCUGUUGUUAGGGAAGAAAUAUACGGAUAGACUCUGUAUUUGACGGUACCUGACUAGAAAGCCCCGGCUAACUACGUGCCAGCAGCCGCGGUAAUACGUAGGGG